GACUCUCGGCAACGGAUAUCUCGGCUCUUGCAUCGAUGAAGAACGUAGCGAAAUGCGAUACUUGGUGUGAAUUGCAGAAUCCCGUGAACCAUCGAGUCUUUGAACGCAAGUUGCGCCCGAAGCAUUCAUGCCGAGGGCACGCCUGCCUGGGCGUCACGCAUCG
rnacentral:rRNA from 1 species